AAUGAACGUUGGCGGCGUGGAUUAGGCAUGCAAGUCGAACGAGAUCUGUAGCAAUACAGUGAAAGUGGCGAAAGGGAGAGUAAUACGUAGGUACCAGCCCUCGGGUCUGGGAUAGCUGCGGGAAACCGCAAUUAAUACCGGAUGAUGUCUCUGGACCAAAGGUGUGAUUCCGCCAGGGGAUGGGCCUGCGUCCUAUCAGCUUGUUGGUGUGGUAACGGCGCACCAAGGCUAAGACGGGUACGGGGUGUGAGAGCAUGCCCCCGCUCACUGGGACUGAGAUACUGCCCAGACACCUACGGGUGGCUGCAGUCGAGAAUCUUCCGCAAUGGGCGCAAGCCUGACGGAGCGACGCAGCGUGUGGGAUGAAGGCCUUCGGGUUGUAAACCACUGUCAGUGGGGAGCAAAUGCAUCAGGGUUCUCCCUGGUGUUUGAGCGAUCCGCAGAGGAAGCACAGGCUAAUUCCGUGCCAGCAGCCGCCGUAA
rnacentral:rRNA from 1 species